GGGGGGAAAGUUGGAUCCUGGGCUGUGUCCCCGGUGCCCUGUACUCCCGGGCCUGCACUGUUGGAGUCGCGCUCCUGGCCGCGCAGCCCCCU
rfam:Canis lupus familiaris chromosome X, whole genome shotgun sequence.